rnacentral:rRNA from 1 species
GACAGAGGGGGCAAGCGUUGCUCGGAAUCACUGGGCGUAAAGGGUGCGUAGGCGGGUCUUUAAGUCAGGGGGGAAAUCCUGGAGCUCAACUCCAGAACUGCCUUUGAUACUGAAGAUCUUGAGUUCGGGAGAGGUGAGUGGAACUGCGAGUGUAGAGGUGAAAUUCGUAGAUAUUCGCAAGAACACCAGUGGCGAAGGCGGCUCACUGGCCCGAUACUGACGCUGAGGCACGAAAGCGUGGGGAGCAAACAGG